CCUACGGGAGGCAGCAGUGGGGAAUAUUGCACAAUGGGGGAAACCCUGAUGCAGCAACGCCGCGUGAGCGAUGAAGGCCUUCGGGUCGUAAAGCUCUGUCCUAAGGGAAGAAUACUGACGGUACCUUAGGAGGAAGCCCCGGCUAACUACGUGCCAGCAGCCGCGGUAAUACGUAGGGGGCUAGCGUUAUCCGGAAUUACUGGGCGUAAAGGGUGUGUAGGCGGCCCUUCAAGUCAGAGGUGAAAGCCCGGAGCUCAACUCCGGGAUUGCAUUUGAAACUGUCUUACUAGAGUGCAGGAGAGGAGAGUGGAAUUCCCAGUGUAGCGGUGAAAUGCGUAGAUAUUGGGAGGAACACCAGUUGCGAAGGCGGCUCUCUGGACUGUAACUGACGCUGAGGCACGAAAGCGUGGGGAGCGAACAGGAUUAGAUACCCCGGUAGUC
rnacentral:rRNA from 1 species